AAGAUGGUAAAGAGGAGAACGAUGAAGAAGAAGGAAGCAAAGGUGAAUAAUUGAUUUUCUCUUUAGUGAUUAUUGAUCACGUGGUGGUUUUGUGUUUGUGUCUUUAAUUACUGCACACAUUUGGUAAAAAUGGAUCUUUUGUUUUUGAUCUUUUAAGCUUAGGUAGGCGUCAACGAAGAAGAAGAACAACAUUAAAAGCAAUUAAGAGAUUUUUGUUUAUUGGCAAAAAAAAAAAAGAGAUUUUUGUUUUUGACUAUUUGUUUCUUGUAACAACAUUAAAAGCAAUUGAGAGUUUUCUUAGAACCGUGACGCCGUCGCUCAAUCUCAAACGACACAAAGGCCAAGCUGAUCAGUACUCUCCUUCGUCCCUGGAUAAUUGCUUCUCGGUUUAGUGUGUCUCUCCUUCUUGAUUUAGUUACGCAAUAUACUUUGGUGGAUUAAGGGCUAGAUAAUAGUAAGAAGACCCUUUUCUUUUAUCUUUUCCUAAGAUUUAGUUUGUAUGGUGUUGAAAUAUAAUAAAGAAAGAAAAAGAGAAGGUAGG
rnacentral:lncRNA from 1 species